CUAUUUAUAUAGACGCCAUCUUCCGAUGCUUCCCACAAUCAGCUAAUCCCACACUCUCUUUUCUCUACCUACAAAAAAAAAAAAUCAUCUAAGUUCUAACGAUGAAUCACCAACAACAAUCUCCUGCAGUGACUGCAUAUCCAGCAGGGGCUCAGAGCAACCUAGCAGCUCCACCACCACCUGUAGGUUAUCCCACUAAGGAUGAUCUUCCUUCCCAACAAAAUGUUCCUGUCAAAACCACUACCAGGGGUGGUGGCUUCUGGAGCGGAUGUUGUACGGCACUCCGCUGUGGUUGCAGUGCCAUGGAAUGUCUGGAUUGUUGUUUCUCCUCCUCUUGAACAUCCCUUCACUUUAUGGAUUUGAGCUUGUUCUCUCUGUCUUUUGUUAUUUUCUUUACCAGAUUAAUUUUGUAUCUUGUUGAUCUUUUUGUACUUUGUGGAAGGGAACUAAUAGCAUGCAUGGACCAUUAUUGCAAUUUUCAGUUAAGAAUUUGAUCAGUUAUCAGU